rnacentral:rRNA from 1 species
GAGUUUGAUCCUGGCUCAGAUUGAACGCUGGCGGCAGGCCUAACACAUGCAAGUCGAGCGGUAGAGAGAAGCUUGGCUUCUCUUGAGAGCGGCGGACGGGUGAGUAAUGCCUAGGAAUCUGCCUGGUAGUGGGGGAUAACGCUCGGAAACGGACGCUAAUACCGCAUACGUCCUACGGGAGAAAGCCAGGGGGACCUUCGGGCCUUGCGCUAUCAGAUGAGCCUAGGUCGGAUUAGCUAGUUGGUGAGGUAAUGGCUCACCAAGGCGACGAUCCGUAACUGGUCUGAGAGGAUGAUCAGUCACACUGGAACUGAGACACGGUCCAGACUCCUACGGGAGGCAGCAGUGGGGAAUAUUGGACAAUGGGCGAAAGCCUGAUCCAGCCACUGCCGCGUGUGUGAAGAAGGUCUUCGGGUUGUAAAGCACUUUAAGUUGGGAGGAAGGGCAGUAAAUUAAUACUUUAGUCUGUUUUUGACGUUUACCGACAGAAUAAGC